rnacentral:lncRNA from 1 species
GUACUCCCAUGGGUUUUGGAAGGAGGUCUAACUCCAUGCACCCUCCCAGCCCCGUGGGUUCAUGUGAUUCCCACCUCACAGCUGGUGAGAUCUGUAGUGAGUAUCUUGAGGCUACAACUUCACUGACGAAUUGUUCAAGACUAGAUCUCCAAUGGAGGAGAUGUAGAGCACUUCCCACAUGCACUUUGCAGGUGAGCUGUGCCAGAGCUUACAGAGAUGGCCAGAAUAUCCAGGUUACCACUUCACGCUUCCCUCUCAAGGUGGAAAGAGAGGGCAGGAUUCAGAUGCAUAUAGUCAGCUUGGGAGCUCUGUGUAGGACAGAGCAUUGCACAUUUUGCUGCACAACAAUCAUUAACACUCGAAUUUAGGAAGAGCACAUUUACAUUGAGCCUUGAUGCAUUCUUGACCACUGUAUCUCAGAAGUUUACAAUGUUUGGCCUUGACAUGCUAAACCCAUGGAAAACAUUAUGGUUGAUGAUGGAAUAGCUCCAUCUUCUGGAAUAUAACUUACUUUUUUGUCAAACCUUUUUGUUUCCAACAUGGAUCUGUAUGUAAAAGUUAUUUCAAAUCCUAACUUUAAUAUUUUUACUGAUGAAAGGUGAAUCCUGUGUAGUAAAUGUGAUGAAUUCAGGAUAAUAUGAUUUCUGAUAAAAUUAAGAGAGCAUUCCUUGUUUUCUAAUGACAUUGAAAAUGUACAUGCGUUGUUCAGCAUACCAUGUUUCAAACUAACCUUAUUAUUUAAGAAAUAGACAAUCUGAUUUUGAUAAUAACAAUUCAGAUUCUGUUUGAGACUAAACACUCAACAUACACACACUGAACUUUAGUCCUGAUUCAGGGUACUUCAGGUUUCAUGAUAAAAGUCUGUAGUUUUACAAGUGUGUUUGUGGUUAAACACUGUCUGAAACAGGGCGAGAUUGAAGCCCAUGCUGAAGUAACUGAAGUCUGAAAUUACACAGAAGAGGAUACAAGUGAUUCUUAUUACCGUUUCUCAAAACAUUUAAAUGAAUGUUUAAAAGAAAUAUUCCAUGUUAAUCACAUGAUACAUUUUAGGUAGGUAAAUAGUAGUGAAUGCUCCCAUACUUAAAAUUUAAGAUGGUCAAGUGAGAUGUUCAACCAGAGUGGUCAGAACAAAACUAUGAUUACGAUGCUCAACUUCAUUUCUUUUACGUAUCACGGAUACACUGUAUUGCUGUUGCUUGAAAAACAAACAAAACAACAAAAAACUUAUUAAAGAACUAAGUUCUUGUGCAUUCACAAAGGGAAAAGAGCAUUGUAGCUAUAAGUUAUCUACUGAGUGUUGCUGUGUAUUAUUUCUUGAUUUCACAGGAAGGUUAGAGUCAAGAGAAAAAAAUGAAAAAAUAUAUAAGUAUAUACACAUCUACUUUUGAAAUAGUGAUAUCUAAAGUUAAUAUGUAUUCAUGGACACACAAGAAUAGCAGAAGUUUAAAUAAACUUGCUUACCAAAACA